GUGUCAGCCGCCGCGGUAAUACGGAGGGGGCAAGCGUUGUUCGGAAUUAUUGGGCGUAAAGGGCGCGUAGGCGGCCAUGCAAGUCGGUUGUGAAAUCCCUUGGCUCAACCAAGGAACUGCGUCCGAAACUGCAUGGCUCGAGUCCGGGAGAGGGUAGUGGAAUUCCCAGUGUAGCGGUGAAAUGCGUAGAUAUUGGGAGGAACACCGGUGGCGAAGGCGGCUACCUGGACCGGAACUGACGCUGAGGCGCGAAAGCUAGGGGAGCAAACAGGAUUAGAAACCCUUGUAGUCC
rnacentral:rRNA from 1 species